rnacentral:rRNA from 1 species
GAUGAACGCUGUCGGCGUGCCUAAUACAUGCAAGUCGAGCGAACAGACGAGUAGCUUGCUCCUGUGACGGUAUCGGCGGACAAGUGAGUAGUACGUCGAUAACCUACCGAUAAGACUGUGAGAACUUCGGCAUGCCGGAGCUGAUACCACGUGAUAUUUUGAGCCUGAUGCUUCAUGGGUCAAGGAAGGUUUUUCUUUCGCUGAUAGAUGGAUCCGCGUCGGAUUAGCUUGUUGGUACGGUAAUGGCUUACCAAGGCGACGAUGCGUAGCCGACCUGAGAGGAUGGUCGGCCGUCCCACAAGGGAGGAGAGGUCCAGCAUCCUACGGGGGGCAGCAGCAGGGAAUAUUCUGGAACGGGGGGAAGCAUGCUGGUGCAACGACGCCUGAGUGAUGAUGGUCUUCUGCUCGUAGAGCUCCGUUAUCACGGAAGAAGAAAUGUGUAAUUAAUUAUGGACGUGUUGACGGUAGCUGAACAGAAAGCGACGGCUAACUACGUG